rnacentral:tRNA from 5 species
GCGCUCUUAGCUCAGUAGGAUAGAGCAAUAGCCUUCUAAGCUAUUGGUCACAGGUUCGAAUCCUGUAGAGCGCA